rnacentral:misc_RNA from 1 species
GAAAAUUAAUGCCACUGCAAAAUUUUUGCUCUAGUGGUAAUAUUUAUGGUAGUGUGUAGACCAUGAACAUGUUGAGGAAGCUAAUAUCAUAUUUGUUUUGGAGUUAAGACACAUGUAUAUAUUCUCUUUUUAAUUUAUCCAAAUCUAAAUUGUUUCAAAUAAUUUGAUUGGUUAUGUGUGUGCAUAUAUAAUAUUGUAUGCAAGUAUUCUCAUCUUUUGGAGUCCUUCCAAAGGAAUCUAUGAGAAACUGUUGAGUUUCAAUGUGCAUGAAGAAUAUUAAAGGCCUAAAACACUAUUCUAUGUUCAAAUGUUACACUGGUUCUUCUGACCUGAUGUCCCACAUGCAAAACAAAUUAAAUUAAAAUUAAAAUUAUUAAUAAUAAUGUAAAGCCUUAAUUGGCUGUAACUUAGCAUAAUUAAAGAUCAUUAUGAUCCUAUGUGACAAACAUUAUUUUUCCAACACCACAUGAUUAUGCAUGGGCUCAGGGUAAUUCAUUGGUUUUGUUUGCUAGGGUAGG